AACGUUUUCCUCAGAUGUGUUGAUAAAUUACCACGAAAAGAUUCGGUCGGACCAGAACGACACUAUAAACAGGGAGCGUAUCGAUAUUCCCAGGGUCCUACGUUCCCCAGGUUUAUAUGGCACAUAAUGAACAUAUAGGCUACAGGACGGCAUUUCUUCAGUUUAGUCUAUACAUUUCACUAUUGUUCAUGCACGGAGUUGAACUCUAUGAACGUAUGAAUGUAGACUAACAGCUAUUUUUAGAGCAGCACGAAUGAGGGUUCAGCGUGUACAACCUAGUUCAUUUUCCAAGCUCAUAACUUCCAUCAAUUUCAAGUGUGGAUGAAGGAUGGAUUUGAAACUAAAUGCAUGUUGUUAUUCAUUUAAAUGCGCCUCUGGCGGUUAAAGUUAAAACGUAAUAAAGUUAACAGGGCGCUGGGGAAAUGAGUCCUGACUACCUCAAACCUUUGGAAAAGUUUACUUAAUUAAUGUGUGUUAAUAGAAUAUCGAACUGGGGAACAUACUGUAGGACCCUGGGAACACAGGAAUGACCCCCUGUACCCUAGACACAGCUAGCGUCAAUUGCUAGCUAAGCUUCUGAAAUAUAGUACAGUAAAGCUGUCGGAAUACAUUUUAAUUCAUAAGGAA